AGUAUUUAACCGUAUCGAGGUGCCCGCGCUCGCGCGGGAGAAUCGGGAAGGCGGUGCGAUUCCGCCACGUGCCCAGCGCCGUGAUGAGGAUCGUCCGGGCAGGCGUCAGCCACUGGCGAAAGCCGGGAAGGCGCCCGGACGAGUCGAGCCUCAGUCGGAAGACCGGCCUCGAGACAUAUUGGCAG
rnacentral:ncRNA from 2 species